rnacentral:misc_RNA from 1 species
AUAUCAUCAUAUACUUCAGGACUUUGCAAAGCUAGCAGUAUUGUAUCUUCGAUUUCCCGUUUCUGUUGAUUAUAUCCAGCAAUAUUUUCCCAGGCAAUAUUAGCAUUUGGAUUACCACUAGUGGACACAUUAAUGCCAAAGAUUUUUACUCCCAUAGACUCUAGAGUAGUAACUAUUUUAUCUGCAGAAGGAACUCCUUUUGAUCUUAAGUCCAAUGAUUUUUGUUGUCCUGCAAAUUGUAGCACAUAUGCCAAAGCAUCAAGCUCCUCAUCAGUAAAGGUCACGGGCUUCAUAAACUCAAUUUCAGCUUUGUCGGCGUUAAUGAGUGGACGAAAUAUGAGAAUGCAUAAAUCUUCGUCAAUAGGAUUUGUAUCCCUUCCUCCAGCUUGCUCCCCUGCAGUUCCAUUUUUCAUUUGGGGGCGGCUAAGUGCCAGUUUCCAG